rnacentral:lncRNA from 13 species
GUUGGAAACUUAGGUGUCUGAGGAGUUACUGCUCCCUGCAUUGAAGCUGAUGUCUUUGGUGGGGGUGUGAGGAAGUUGUUUCUGAAAGUGUUGGGAAAAGUGCAAACUGAAAUCAACUGCUGUUAUUGAAAUGAAAUGUCACUGUCAGGGUGAAAAAGUGUUGCCGUGGUGAUGCUGAGACCAGCAGGAAGCAAAAAAAAGGAAGACAAAAUAAACAGGAAGGAGUGUGUCCCUUAUUUUUCCUCAAUUCGUACAGUGCUUUUCCAGUUCCUUCUACUGGCUUACCGGAGAGACUUAUGAAAGCCAAGAAAACCAGCAGAAAUAUGAUUGGCAGAUCUCAGCCCCACAUCUUGAAGGGGACAUGGAUGAAGCUGGAAACCAUCAUUCUCAGCAAACUGACUGAAGAAUGGAAAACCAAACACCGCAUGUUCUCACGUGUAAGUGGAAGUCGAACAAUGAGAAAACAUGGACACAGGGAGGGGAACAUCACACACAGGGGACUGUCGGG